rnacentral:rRNA from 1 species
ACGGGGUCCAUCCAGUGGCAACACUGGUGAAGAUCUAGUGGCGAACGGGUGCGUAACACGUGAGGAACCUACCCCGAUCUCAGGAAUAACAGUGGGAAACCACUGCUAAUACCGGAUGCCUUCCCCGGGUCGCAUGGCUCGGCGAAGAAAGGGUUACCGGAUCGGGACGGCCUCGCGGCCUAUCAGCUUGUUGGCGGGGUAAUGGCCCACCAAGGCGUCGACGGGUAGCUGGUCUGAGAGGAUGAUCAGCCACACUGGGACUGAGACACGGCCCAGACUCCUACGGGAGGCAGCAGUGGGGAAUCUUGCGCAAUGGGCGAAAGCCUGACGCAGCAACGCCGCGUGGGGGAUGAAGGCCCUCGGGUUGUAAACCCCUUUCAGCAGGAACGAAUCUGACGGUACCUGCAGAAGAAGGCCCGGCCAACUACGUGCCAGCAGCCGCGGUAAUACGUAGGGGCCAAGCGUUGUCCGGAUUUAUUGGGCGUAAAGAGCUCGUAGGCGGUUGGGUAAGUCGGGUGUGAAAACUCCAGGCUCAACUUGGGAGACGCCACCCGAUACUGCUCUGACUUGAGUUCGGUAGGGGAGUGGGGAAUUCCUGGUGUAGCGGUGAAAUGCGCAGAUAUCAGGA